UGGGGAUCUUUUGCUAAAUAUACUGCUCACAAAAUGAAAAUAUGUCAAUAUGUUUAAUGAUGGUAAUUAGGUUUAAUUUCUUUGCGGCCGUCGAAAUGUUUUAAUGGAGAGCGUUUGCACUCAUUCCCCCAGGGACCAUCUCAACAAAAGCCAUGACGGCCAUGUUGUUGGUGUUCCAGACAAAAGAGCUAGUCUAAUUAAAAUUCUUUUGAAUUGGAACACCAACAUGGCGGCUGUGACGUCAUGUGCAAACGCUCUAUUUUAUCGGAGUUGAAGUUUACUUCUGUCAGUAUACGUUCAAACAUUUGACAUCUUUACGAAUACAAAAUCUGGAAGGUAUACAUCGGUCAUCAUGACCGGUGGAUUAAAUUCACCAGUCACAUCAGAUUUUGCCAGUCAUCUUUUGUUUUCGUCAUUUGCCGCGUGGUAUGAUUCCAGAUAAUUAUUCUGAAGAAAAUGCUCACUUUGUUGACGAGAAUAACGACAAAAAAUUACAAAUGUUGAAGAGAAAAAUUCGUAUAUAAUAAAUUUUUCUAUAAAUUAUGGUCACCGCCGAAUUUACACAAGUAUAUUUAGUACUUGGACAGUGCGAAAGCGUAUCUGAGCCGCAAAAUUUUAACCGGACAAAUCAGGCAAAUGAAAGUAAGGCCUGUUUUAUACGUCGAAUUUUGGUCGCGUCGAAU